rnacentral:rRNA from 1 species
CCUACGGGUGGCAGCAGUGAGGAAUAUUGGUCAAUGGACGAGAGUCUGAACCAGCCAAGUAGCGUGAAGGAUGACUGCCCUAUGGGUUGUAAACUUCUUUUAUAAAGGAAUAAAACGAGGCACGUGUGCCUUUUUGCAUGUACUUUAUGAAUAAGGAUCGGCUAACUCCGUGCCAGCAGCCGCGGUAAUACGGAGGAUCCAAGCGUUAUCCGGAUUUAUUGGGUUUAAAGGGUGCGUAGGCGGAUUGAUAAGUUAGAGGUGAAAUGUCCGAGCUUAACUCGGGAACUGCCUCUAAUACUGUUGAUCUAGAGAGUAGAUGCGGUAGGCGGAAUUCGUGGUGUAGCGGUGAAAUGCUUAGAUAUCACGAAGAACUCCGAUUGCGAAGGCAGCCUACUAAACUGCCACUGACAUUGAUGCUCGAAAGUGUGGGUAUCAAACAGGAUUAGAUACCCUAGUAGUC